UACGUAGGGUGCAAGCGUUGUCCGGAAUUAUUGGGCGUAAAGAGCUCGUAGGCGGUUUGUUGCGUCGGCUGUGAAAUCCCGAGGCUCAACCUCGGGUCUGCAGUCGAUACGAGCAAACUAGAGUGUUGCAGGGGAGACUGGAAUUCCUGGUGUAGCGGUGAAAUGCGCAGAUAUCAGGAGGAACACCGGUGGCGAAGGCGGGUCUCUGGGCAACAACUGACACUGAGGCACGAAAGCGUGGGGAGCAAACAGG
rnacentral:rRNA from 1 species